GGCUGGUCCGAGUGCACUGGUGUUUAUAGCUAAUUGAUCACAACCAGUUAUAGAUUUAUUUGUUUCUUCUCCACUCCCACUGCUUCACCUGACUAGCCUUAA
ensembl:misc_RNA Y_RNA Y RNA